GACGAACGCUGGCGGCGUGCCUAAUACAUGCAAGUCGAACGAAGUGGCGAACGGGUGAGUAACGCGUAAUCAACCUGCCCUUCAGAGGGGGACAACAGUUGGAAACGACUGCUAAUCCCGCAAACUGAAGGAGGGGAUUGCGUCUGAUUAGCUAGUUGGAGGGGUAACGGCCCACCAAGGCGAUGAUCAGUAGCCGGUCUGGGAGGAAGAACGGCCACAUUGGGACUGGGACACGGCCCAGACUCCUACGGGAGGCAGCAGUGGGGGAUCUUCCGAAAUGGACGAAAGUCCUACGGAGCAACGCCGCGUGAGUGAUGACGGCCUUCGGGUUGUAAAGCUCUUUUAAUCGGGACGCGGUACCGGAAUAGAAAGCCACGGCUAACUACGUGCCAGCAGCCGCGGUAAUUC
rnacentral:rRNA from 1 species